CUCUCCGUAGCUCAGUUGGUAGAGCAGCUGACUCUUAAUCAGCGGGCCACAGGUUCGAGCCCUGUCGGGGAGA
rnacentral:tRNA from 5 species